GAUGGCAAUUUUGGUGUAUUUCCUUGCUGAAACCUGCCAAACAGUGAUUGUUGCUUCGGCUGUUUAUCUUGCACGUUGAACCCUCAACAAGAGAGCCCUUAUGAACCAAAAUACUGAGUACUCUCGGAGAAUCAACUAAGGUAAUAUAUUCUUUUUGUAUGGAGUUUCAACUAACCUUAGAUAUAAUUACUAGAAUUUGGAGCGACCCAUUUUAGUAAAAUGAAAUUAUUAAAUGUGAUGAUAAUAAGAACAUUGAUGAGGAUUUAUUUAUUUUUCCUGUUAGUAAAAUCUCAUUAUUGUUCUGUUUCUUGGGGGUGCAUCAUUUCUUUUAGGAAAUGUUGUCCUCUUACUUUGCAUUCUUGUAUGGGAAAUUGUUGACUUCUGAUUUCAUUUCAGUCCGAUACUUUAUAAGAAGGUAUUGGAUGUUUGUGUCGAUUACAGGUAGAAAGUCUUUUUUUGUUGACAAUUAUAAUAUUGCCUUGCUUACAUCAAUUUAAUGGAGAAAUUGAGUUUUCCAUCAUUUUUUCUUGAAAUCUUGAAAGGUUUUAACAGUUCGCAACACCAUAAAUAAUCUCUUUUUAUAUAUGAAGUUUUCAGUUUUUAAGGUUCAACUUGAAUAAAUUUUUUUUUUUAAAAGUCCCAAAUUGAUCUGUAUUGCUUUUCUGCUAUUGUAGAUGGCAAUUUUGGUGUAUUUCCUUGCUGAAACCUGCCAAACAGUGAUUGUUGGGAUGUUUAUCUUGCACGUUGUACCCUCAACAAGAGAGCCCUUAUGAACCAAAAUACUGAGUACUCUAGGAGAAUCAACUAAGGUAAUAUAUUCUUUUGUAUGGAGUUUCAACUAACCUUAGAUAUAAUUACUAGAAUUUGGAGCGACUCAUUUUAGUAAAAUGAAAUUAUUAAAUGUGAUGAUAAUAAGAACAUUGAUGAGGAUUUAUUUAUUUUUCCUGCUAGUAAAAUCACAUUAUUGUUCUGUUCCUUGGGUGUGCAUCAUUUCUUUUAGUAAAUGCUGUCCUCUUACUUUGGAUUCUUGUAUGGGAAAUUGUUGACUUCUGAUUUCAUUUCAGUUUGAUACUUUAUAAGAAAGUAUUGGAUGUUUGUGUUGAUUAUAGGUAGAAAGUCUUUUUUUUUGUUGACAAUUAUAAUAUUACCUUGCUUACAUCAAUUUAAUGGAGAAAUUGAGUUUUCCAUCAUUUUUUCUUGAAAUCUUGAAAGGUUUUAACAGUUUGCACACCAUAAAUAAUCUCUUUUUAUAUAUGAAGUUUUCAGUUUUUACGGAUCAACUUGAAUAAACAAUUUUUUUUUAAAAAAGUCCCAAAUUGAUAUUUAUUGCUUUUCUGCUAUUGUUGAUGGCAAUUUUGGUGUAUUUCCUUGCUGAAACCUGCCAAACAGUGAUUGUUGCUUCGGCUGUUUAUCUUGCACGUUAUACCCUCAACAAGAGAGCCCUUAUGAACCAAAAUACUGAGUACUCUCGUAGAAUCAACUAAGGUAAUAUAUUCUUUUGUAUGGAGUUUCAACUAACCUUAGACAUAAUUACUAGAAUUUGGAGCGAUUCAUUUUUGUAAAAUGAAAUUAUUAAAUGUGAUGAUAAUAAGAACAUUGAUGAGGAUUUAUUUAUUUUUCCUGUUAGUAAAAUCUCAUUAUUGUUCUGUUCCUUGGGUGUGCAUCAUUUCUUUUAGUAAAUGUUGUCCUCUUACUUUGGAUUCUUGUAUGGGAAAUUGUUGACCUCUGAUUUCAUUUCAGUCCGAUACUUUAUAAGAAAGUAUUGGAUGUUUGUGUUGAUUACAGGUAGAUAGUCUUUUUUUUGUUGACAAUUAUAAUAUUACCUUGCUUACAUCAAUUUUAUGGAGAAAUUGAGUUUUCCAUCAUUUUUUCUUGAAAUCUUGAAAGGUUUUAACAGUUCGUACACCAUAAAUAAUCUCUUUUUAUAUAUGAAGUUUUCAGUUUUUAAGGUUAAACUUGAAUAAGCAAUUUUUUUUAAAAGUCCCAAAUUGAUAUGUAUUGCUUUUCUGCUAUUGUAGAUGGCAAUUUUGGUGUAUUUCGUUGCUGAAACUGCCAAACAGUGAUUGUUGCUUCGGCUGUUUAUCUUGCACGUUGUACCCUCAACAAGAGAGCCCUUAUGAACCAAAAUACUGAGUACUCUCGGAGAAUCAACUAAGGUAAUAUAUUCUUUUGUAUGGAGUUUCAACUAACCUUAGAUAUAAUUACUAGAAUUUGGAGCGACUCAUUUUAGUAAAAUGAAAUUAUUAAAUGUGAUGAUAAUAAGAACAUUGAUGAGGAUUUAUUUAUUUUUCCUGCUAGUAAAAUCUCAUUAUUGUUCUGUUCCUUGGGUGUGCAUCAUUUCUUUUAGUAAAUGCUGUCCUCUUACUUUGGAUUCUUGUAUGGGAAAUUGUUGACUUCUGAUUUCAUUUCAGUCCGAUACUUUAUAAGAAGGUAUUGGAUGUUUGUGUUGAUUACAGGUAGAAAGUCUUUUUUGGUUGACAAUUAUAAUAUUACCUUGCUUACAUCAAUUUUAUGGAGAAAUUGAGGUUUCCAUCAUUUUUUCUUGAAAUCUUGAAAGGUUUUAACAGUUCGCAAC
rnacentral:lncRNA from 1 species